rnacentral:rRNA from 1 species
UACGGAGGGUGCAAGCGUUAUCCGGAUUCACUGGGUUUAAAGGGUGCGUAGGUGGGCAAGUAAGUCAGUGGUGAAAUCUCCGGGCUUAACCCGUAAGCUGCCAUUGAUACUAUUUGUCUUGAAUACUGUGGAGGUCAGCGGAAUAUGUCAUGUAGCGGUGAAAUGCUUAGAUAUGUCACAGAACACCGAUUGCGAAGGCAGCUCACUAAAGUGUAACUGACGCUGAGGCACGAAAGCGUGGGGAUCAAACAGG